CGGAACUCUGGAGAACACCGGCUGCGUGCGGAGCGCGUGGUGCAGAGGUGAGCUCUGCCCAGCGCCAUUCGGGUCUGUCCCGCCCACGCACACGCACACGCGGCGCCGGGAGCCGCGGACAUCGAUAUCUGGAUUUGAACUGGAUUUUAGAAUUCAUCUUUACUUACAAUGCCACCAUCAAAUGGAGGUCCGGCUGGAUAUACCCCACCAGAUGGAGGCUGGGGGUGGGCAGUGGUACUUGGAGCUUUCAUUUCCAUUGGCUUUGCUUGUGCAUUUGGCAAAUCUAUUAGUGUAUUUUACAAAGAAAUUGGAGAAAUAUUUAAAGCCAGCACCAGCGAAGUGUCAUGGUUAUCUUCCAUCGUGUUUGCUGUCAUGUAUGCUGGAGGUCCUAUCAGCAGUGUCCUGGUGAAUAAAUAUGGCAGUCGCCCCGUCAUGAUUCUUGGUGGCUGCUUGUCAGGCUGUGGCUUGAUUGCAGCUUCCUUCUGUAGCACUGUGAUGCAACUUUACCUUUGUAUCGGAGUUAUUGUAGGUCUUGGGCUUGCCUUCAACUUCAAUCCAGCUUUGACCAUGAUUGGCAAGUAUUUCUACAAGAAGCGGCCAUUAGCAAGUGGACUAGCCAUGGCAGGCAGCCCUGUGUUCCUCUCUGCCAUGGCCCCCCUCAACCAGGCUCUUUUUGCUACCUUUGGCUGGAGAGGAAGCUUCCUAAUUCUGGGGGGCCUCCUACUAAACUGCUGUGUGGCUGGAGCCCUGAUGAGACCAAUAGGGCCCAAGCCAACCACCACAGAGAAAGAGAAGUCUAAAGAAUUCCUUCAGGAAGCUGGAAAAUGUGAUACAAACAAGGGGGCAGGUAAUCCAAAGACAGGAGUUAAUGGUGGAAACUCCCCAAAGGAGAAACAAUCACUUUUUCAAAAAGUUAACAAACUUUUGGACCUAUCCCUGUUGAAGCACAGAGGCUUCCUGCUGUACCUCUCUGGGAAUGUGAUCAUGUCUUUUGGGGUGGCUACGCCCUUAGUCUUUAUUAGCAAUUACGCCAAGAGUCAACAUUACUCUGGUGAGAAGGCUGCCUUCCUUCUUUCCAUUCUGGCUUUUGUUGACAUGGUAGCCAGACCUUGUAUGGGAUUUGUAGCCAACACAAAGUGGGUAAGACCACGGAUUCAGUACUUUUUGGCUGCUUCUAUUACCGUGAACGGAGUAUGUCAUAUGCUAGUACCUUUAUCUUCCAGCUACAUAGGGUUCUGUGUCUACUCGGGAUUCCUUGGAUUUGCUUUUGGGUGGUUUGGUGCCGUACUGUUUGAAACGCUGAUGGACCUUGUGGGAGCCGAGAGAUUCUCCAGUGCUGUGGGAUUGGUAACCAUUGUGGAGUGCUGUCCUGUCCUCCUGGGACCACCAGUUUUAGGAGGUGUCCCGUCUGCUGUGAAAUUCUUGACACCUUCGGAAUUGUCAGGCUAGAAGGAGGGGGAUACAUAAGUGAGUAUGAGUUGGCUUUUCUGGAGACGGCCUGGGACAUGGGAUAUUUAACCCAUCUAUGUUUUCAUCCACACCUGAUCAAGCCCACUAAGACAGAACAGACUUUAAGGGAGAAACAGUCUUGGACCAUGUGGUGUUCUGGUUUGGCCUUGCUGACCGGCAAGUGAAGACAGGCCGAUCCCCCUUCUCCCUCUGGGAUCUGGCAGGAUUUGGAUGAGGAUGACCUGUCCCUCCCCCAUACUGGAUGAUGACGCGCCUGCUGGCCCAGUAUUCCACCAGGACCAGAGGCCGCCUUAAUGCCUGAUCCAGGGCCAGGUGAAGUUCCUGCAGCAGCCGCUGCGCCUCCACCAGCUCUCCCGGAGGUCAUAGAGCCCCCACCUCAGCGGGCUCCCAUCCUGGUGGCAGAAGCCUCUGGCCAACACUUCGAGGAUCUGGCUCCAGCUGAACCGCCCCAGCUAUACCCACCUCUCCCGAUCUCAAGGAUGCCUUCUUCUGCAUACACCUUGCCCCAGCAUCACAGCCCAUCCUUGCCUUUGAAUUGGGAAGAUCCAGUCAGGGGCACCAAACAACAGCUCACCUGGACUCCCCCACAAGGGUUUAAGAAUUCCCCAACCAUCUUUGGGGAAGCCUUGGCUUCUGACCUGGACUCAUUCCACCCGGAAAAGUACAGAUGUUGGCUCCUACAAUACGUGGAUGACCUGCUGCUGGUUGCCGAGACCAAGGAAAAAUGCUGGAAAGGGACAAAAGCACUGUUCCGGCUGCUGAUGGAAGCAGGUUACUGGGUGUCGAAGAAGAAGGCACAGAUCUGCAAGGAGUUAAAGUUACAGGUAUUGCCCCUUGGAUCCAUCAUACGGGGGUGAAGAGAGCAUAGCACGCAGACCCAGAAAACCCUGAGUGGACUGCACAGAGGGACCCCGCUGACCCUCGAGAGACUAAGACCAUCCUUAAGAAGAAGGAAAAGAAGAUCCCAGAGCCCCUUGAGGAUGAAGCCACAUAAUCAACUCCUGCUGCUUGGUCUCAUCAACGUGCACAUUCCUACGCCAACUUCCACAAUUCCUCCAACUGUUGGAACCACCAUCAACACGCAGACCAGAGUGUGAACUUCUUGAGCAAAGAGACACCUCUUUUGAUUGGAGAGUUGAGGAAGCUUCCUGGAAGAGGUGUCUUGUCAGCUGACCCUGAAUUGUUGGAUUGGGGUAGGUAAAUAGGGGAAGGAUGGCAUCUCUCCUGGAAAGAAAAAAACAGAGAUAGGUAUAGAGAGACCAAUGGUAUAAACCAACUAGACUUUGAAACUUUGCAAAUUAUCUUAAUUGAGGAACCGUGUGUUAACAGACAUUACAUCAGGCCCCAGGCUGGGCUAGGAAGAUAGAAUGCUGAAUAAGAAGCUUUUUGUCCUUUGGGAGCAAGAGAAGGAAAUUGGUGCUUACAAUCACAGUAUGAGGAGGACCCCAAAAGUCCAAGGACUCAAAAGUGAAUCAAGGGCAGAGAGUUUCCCAAGCCCAGGUCUGAUGAGGGCAGAGGACAUCCCCGUGGGCCUAUGGGCUGCCUUGGAGAAAUGCUGAAGUGGCAUCUAUGUUCUACACCCAUCCCCCCAACCUCCUCCUCCUUUGGAGUGAAGGUGGUGGGUUAGUACUGAGUAGGAAGUGAAUGCCCCUAUUCCUUGAGCCCAGUUCUCCAGGAAUUAAGGUCCCAAUUAUAGAAGAGGCAAUCAGAGGUUAAGGUAGCACAUCUAAAAUUAUUGAGAAGAAAACAGUAUUACAUGCCUAAAGAAAAUUUAUCAAAAGAAAACACAAGAUAGGAAAAGGUGUUCCACCAGGAGUGUAAGCUCCAACUUUGAAUAUCUGAAGAUUCCAUCUCUGGUAUGCAGACAAAGAUGGGUUUGUGGUAGCAUUCAAGUAUGUGCUAAAGGUAUAAAACAAUGAAUGAGUGAAUGAAGACUCAAAAGAUGGAUCUUCUGGGGUGGGGACUCACACACAAACUGCCCUGCUACGUGCCCUCCAAGGUAGCCUAAGACUGGUGUCCUUUAAACACCUGAAACAUCAACCACUUCUUUUGGGUUUAUUUUUCUCCCCACCAGCAGUACGUGGCUCACCUCCCCCACCCAAGUUUCUAUUAGCCAAAGAAACUGAGAAUGCUCAACAUGCUGGAAGGACAUUCCAGAUGCCUGAAACCCUACUGCAAGAAUCCCCUGCUAGCAGAGGACAGAUUACAUAGGCCCAUAUAGCUCUAGAAGCAUAGAGGUUGAUAGGCUGACCAAGUCAGGGAAAACCUCUUGAUGGAGGUUACCCUUGAUCGUCAUGAAAUCUGGAUUUAAUUUUGAUGCCUCUGGAUAGGAAAUGAUUCCCUGGUAGAUGAGUUCAAUAAGAUAGAUGAGGUCAUUAAGCCUUUAGUGGGCUUUGAAUUAUCUUCACUCAAAGAAUAUGGAAGAGAUUAAUACUGAGAUUCUGUAGUUUGACCUCUUCAAAAGAGUCAGAAAUCAUAGUCAAGAACUUUGUAAGUUUUAUUAAUUGUAUAAUUUGUUUACUUUCUUUCUACCAUUAUUAUUUGGAACCCCAUACUGUGCUAAGUCACUUGGGUUGUGUCCGACUCUUUGCAACCCUAUGGACAGCAGCCUGCCAGGCUCCUCUGGAGUGGCUUGCCAUUUCCUCCUUCAGGGGAUCUUCCCGACCCAGGGAUUGAAC